ACAGUACAAACUGAGCAGGCGAUGAACCGCCGGAAGAUGGGGGUUCUGGGGCUGGGCCGCCGAGGCGGCAGCGGAUGAUGGGCGACACAUCUGCGGGACAGUG
rnacentral:ncRNA from 12 species